rnacentral:rRNA from 1 species
UACGAAGGGAGCAAGCGUUGUUCGGAAUUACUGGGCGUAAAGAGCGCGUAGGCGGUUUGAUAAGUUGGGCGUGAAAGCCCUGGGCUCAACCCAGGAACUGCGUUCAAAACUAUCAGACUUGAGAGUGGUAGAGGAUAGUGGAAUACCCAGUGUAGAGGUGAAAUUCGUAGAUAUUGGGUAGAACACCGGUGGCGAAGGCGGCUAUCUGGACCAUUUCUGACGCUGAGGCGCGAAAGCGUGGGGAGCAAACAGG